rnacentral:antisense_RNA from 1 species
UGGUGAGGGGAUUUAUCCCCGAUCGGCUGCGAAGCAGUCGCAGGGCCGCUGCGCGACCCAUCGGGGAUAAAUCCCCUCACCA